rnacentral:rRNA from 1 species
GCCUACAUGAAGUCGGAAUCGCUAGUAAUCGCGGAUCAGCAUGCCGCGGUGAAUACGUUCCCGGGCCUUGUACACACCGCCCGUCACACCAUGAGAGUUUGUAACACCCAAAGCCGGUGGGUAACCUUUUGGAGCCAGCCGUCUAAGGUGGGACAGAUGAUUGGGGUGAAGUCGUAACAAGGUACC